UACAGAGGUCUCAAGCGUUGUUCGGAAUCACUGGGCGUAAAGGGUGUGUAGGCGGUGUGCUAAGUCAGAUGUGAAAGCCCGGGGCUCAACCUCGGAACUGCACCCGAUACUGGCAUGCUAGAGAAUUGGAGAGGAGUCUAGAAUUCACGGUGUAGCAGUGAAAUGCGUAGAUAUCGUGAGGAAUACCAAGUGCGAAGGCAGGACUCUGGACAUUUUCUGACGCUGAGACACGAAGGCCAGGGGAGCAAAACGGGG
rnacentral:rRNA from 1 species